UGUGCAAUCUGAAGAUCCUAUUUGGCUAAUGGCUCCAUCAUCUGGGGCACGUUUCCUUAUAGGCUUAUUAUCCUUGUACUGGCAGUGAUGGGGGAGUAUCUUGAAGUGAAGGUUGAUGUCACUAUGUUGACUCCCUUUUUUUAAGAAAGGGGGAGGGGGAUGGAAUGCCCUGCAUGAAUUUUAACCAAUUGAAGGAUGCUCUUGCUAUGAUCCUCUAAUGCCUAUUUCAAUAUGGGAUGGAUGGACGGAGGAAGUGUGUGCGAGAGUACUCAUGUGCACGAAGGUAGAACUCACAGAGCUGAGGGGAGCAUUGUCAAGUUUAGCUGAGCCAUCUGUGUUAUUUGCUGAGCUGUGUGCGUGCUUCCAAGUUGCCUUUGUUUUUGUUUUUAUUGUUUUUUUUUGGUUUUGUUUUGUUUUCCUGAGCUGAGCAGAAUUUUCCUCAUGUUUUUGUUUUUUGAUUUGUUAGGAUCCCAUCUAUUGAAUGAGUAGGGCUCAUGUGUAAUAAGCAGUCACAUAAGCAUAAUUCACCUGGUUGAUAUGUGCAGACAUCUGUUGAUAUGCGCAAA